rnacentral:tRNA from 2 species
GCCGCGGUGGCGGAACGGCAGACGCGCUAGGUUUAGGACCUAGUGGGGCAACCCAUGAGAGUUCAAAUCUCUCCCGCGGCACAA